AGUAGGGGUGUAAUGUACCUACUAGCCGACGACGGGUACGGGCUGUGAGAGCAAGAGCCCGGAGAUGGAUUCUGAGACAUGAAUCCAGGCCCUACGGGGCGCAGCAGGCGCGAAAACUUUACAAUGCGGGAAACCGCGAUAAGGGGACACCGAGUGCCAGCAUAUUAUGUUGGCUGUCCAUAUGUAUAAAUAACAUGUGUUAGCAAGGGCCGGGCAAGACCGGUGCCAGCCGCCGCGGUAACACCGGCGGCCCGAGUGGUAGCCGCUAUUAUUGGGUCUAAAGGGUCCGUAGCCGGUUUGAUCAGUCUUCCGGGAAAUCUGACAGCUUAACUGUUAGGCUUCCGGGGGAUACUGUCAGACUUGGAACCGGGAGAGGUAAGAGGUACUACAGGGGUAGGAGUGAAAUCUUGUAAUCCUUGUGGGACCACCAGUGGCGAAGGCGUCUUACCAGAACGGGUUCGACGGUGAGGGACGAAAGCUGGGGGCACGAACCGGAUUAGAUACCCGGGUAGUCCCAGCCGUAAACGAUGCUCGCUAGGUGUCUGGGAUGGUGCGACCGUUUCAGGUGCCGCAGGGAAGCCGUGAAGCGAGCCACCUGGGAAGUACG
rnacentral:rRNA from 1 species